UUUAUAUUUAUUUCCUUUUGAUUGAUUCAUGUGCAGUGUAAUGUUCUUGUAGGAUGACAAGUUGUCGCAUCUCGAGCAUGUUUCAUAGGAGAGUGGAAUGAAGUCCAUUGUACUAUUGGGAUAGUAGCAAAUGUGCCAUUGUUCUAUUGUGCAAUUCUGUCCGUUCUUGCUAUAUUCAUGUUUAAGGAAUCUAUUCAUGAGAUGAGUUAUUGUAUUAUGUAAACCUGGGAGAUGUAUUAUGUGAUGUUAUAUUAUGGAUGAUUU
rnacentral:lncRNA from 1 species